AAAAAUACCAAAAAUAUUUUAUUUGUUUCUUGACUUCUAAGCUUCAUCUCACUUCUGUUUACCAUUGAUUGACUUUGAUUCUAUUCAUGUUUGAUCAAUGUGUGUUGGAUAUUUCAUUUGAAUUUCAAUUUCUUGACUUCUAAGCUUCAUCUCACUUCUGUUUACCAUUGAUUGACUUUGAUUCUAUUCAUGUUUGAUCAAUGUGUGUUGGAUAUUUCAUUUGAAUUUCAAUUUAUGUACAUUCUUAUUCUUCUUCU
rnacentral:lncRNA from 1 species